AGAGUUUGAUCCUGGCUCAGGAUGAACGCUGGCGGCGUGCCUAAUACAUGCAAGUCGAACGCUUUGUUUUUAAUUGAUAUGAAGAGCUUGCUCUGAUUUGAUUUUAUCUGACAAAGAGUGGCGAACGGGUGAGUAACACGUGGGUAACCUACCUCUUAGCAGGGGAUAACUUUUGGAAACAAGUGCUAAUACCGUAUAACACUAACAACCGCAUGGUUGUUAGUUGAAAGAUGGUUCUGCUAUCACUAAGAGAUGGACCCGCGGUGCAUUAGCUAGUUGGUAAGGUAAUGGCUUACCAAGGCGAUGAUGCGUAGCCGAGUUGAGAGACUGAUCAGCCACAAUGGGACUGAGACACGGCCCAUACUCCUACGGGAGGCAGCAGUAGGGAAUCUUCCACAAUGGGCGCAAGCCUGAUGGAGCAACGCCGCGUGUGUGAUGAAGGGUUUCGGCUCGUAAAACACUGUUAUAAGAGAAGAACGACAUUGAGAGUAACUGUUCAGUGUGUGACGGUAUCUUAUCAGAAAGGAACGGCUAAAUACGUGCCAGCAGCCGCGGUAAUACGUAUGUUCCAAGCGUUAUCCGGAUUUAUUGGGCGUAAAGCGAGCGCAGACGGUUAUUUAAGUCUGAAGUGAAAGCCCUCAGCUCAACUGAGGAAGGGCUUUGGAAACUGGAUAACUUGAGUGCAGUAGAGGAAAGUGGAACUCCAUGUGUAGCGGUGAAAUGCGUAGAUAUAUGGAAGAACACCGGUGGCGAAAGCGGCUUUCUGGACUGUAACUGACGUUGAGGCUCGAAAGUGUGGGUAGCAAACAGGAUUAGAUACCCUGGUAGUCCACACCGUAAACGAUGAGUGCUAGAUGUUCGAGGGUUUCCGCCCUUGAGUGUCGCAGCU
rnacentral:rRNA from 1 species